GAUGAACGCUGGCGGCGUGCCUAAUACAUGCAAGUCGAGCGAACAGAUAAGGAGCUUGCUCCUUUGAAGUUAGCGGCGGACGGGUGAGUAACACGUGGGUAACCUACCUAUAAGACUGGGAUAACUUCGGGAAACCGGAGCUAAUACCGGACAACAUUUAGAACCGCAUGGUUCUAAAGUGAAAGAUGGUUUUGCUAUCACUUAUAGAUGGACCCGCGCCGUAUUAGCUAGUUGGUAAGGUAACGGCUUACCAAGGCGACGAUACGUAGCCGACCUGAGAGGGUGAUCGGCCACACUGCAACUGAGACACGGUCCAGACUCCUACGGGAGGCAGCAGUAGGGAAUCUUCCGCAAUGGGCGAAAGCCUGACGGAGCAACGCCGCGUGAGUGAUGAAGGGUUUCGGCUCGUAAAACUCUGUUAUUAGGGAAGAACAAAUGUGUAAGUAACUGUGCACAUCUUGACGGUACCUAAUCAGAAAGCCACGGCUAACUACGUGCCAGCCGCCGCAGUAA
rnacentral:rRNA from 1 species